AUGUUAUUUAAUUUCUCUGUACCUCAGUUUUCUUACCUGCAAAGUGGAGAUGAUAAUAGUACCUAUUUUAUGGGUUUUGUGGGGUGUUGAAUAAAUAUAUAUGGAGUGCUUUCAACAUUGUCUGGCAAAGAGCAAGCACUCAAUGAACCUUAGCUACCAUCCUCCUCCUCAUCAUGCUUUUCUACAUCUUACAAAAUAUCUGCAGUAAGUCCAGCUACCUACGCACAAUAUUUUAAAAAAGAAAUAUCACAUAGCUAGGGGAACAUAACCUUUUAGGUCAAUAAAGUGAAACAAAAUUGGGAAGAUGUGUGGUGAGAUACCAUGAAAAGGAGGUUGCUGAUAUAGACACAGGAGGGAUGGGAAAGAAAACAAGGGAAGGAGAAAGAAAAAGAGUUGAAAAGGAGGGGACAGAUGAUGGACUGGCAAGAAUUAGGGAUGGGGAGAGCCAGGCAUAUGUAUUCAAAGUUGCUCCAUGGAACUCGACCUCACUGCUCUAACACCUUGAGGAGGGCACUCACAGAAUUGCAACUGCUCCCCACUCCCUUACCCAGUCUGUAAAGGGGCAGUGGGUGGGCAGGGGGAAGUGAGUAGGAGUAAAAGCAGGAAUCGAAAGGUGAGAAAAUGGAAGCUGAGAAAGGUAAAUUGGCCUGUGAAGGUCCCAGCUGUUGCUGGCAACCCCGGGUCUAGAACUCAGCUUUCAGGAUAUCCAGACCCUUUCCAAAACCCCUCCACCCAACUGACCAAUUUCUGUACCUUGCAGCAUAAAUGUAAAACCUCACCCAAUAAUUUAGAAUCUGCACCUUGGCCAUUAGGAUGGAACAAAGAUGCUGGCCAAAGUUUCCAUCAGUGACCCAUGGAUGUCUGGCAAAAACCCAUAUGUUACCAUCUGCCCUCUACUGCCCUCUUGCCAUCUCCCAAACCUUCUGGUGCUGUUUUCUAGACCUGUCUAGAGAACAGUCAGGGCAGGCACCAAGCCAUUUGCUUCAUCAGUUAAUAAGACAUUGUGUUUGCUGUGCAAAAUGUAAGGGGAAGAAUCCAUUGGGUAUUCAAGUUUUACACCAGCCAGUGGACACGUGCAGUCAGAGUGCCCUGGCUGAGCAAGACUCAGAAACGUCCUCCUCUUCUAAGCUGAUGGGCUUACCAUCUAGAACCAUAGGCUCAAUGAAAAUGCUAUUUUUGCUUUUUGGGGAGGACAUCUAUAGAAUAUUUGGUACUAUAAUUUGCAAACAGUGGUCAGACUUAAGUAUAUAUUUAAUAUGUGGGGAUAGCUGUGUUAUUUUUUCUGCCACUCAUUUGACUGGAUUGCUGGCUCAAACAUGUGCCCUGUAAGGGAAACUUUCAUUUGUUUGCAUGUGUUUUGGUUUGUAAAAGGUGGGAGUAAGCCCUGCAAGUCAACCUCUGUCAUCAUACAAGGGGCAUUCCAGGGGCCUCCUUACCAGGCUACCUUGGAGAUGUCCAGACCCAAGAUGCUCAGUCUAACUUUGAUCAGAGUCAGUUUAAUACAAGGAACAGGGAGAAUGUAGAAUUGACAUCCAUUAAUUAAGACUAUUUAAUGAUAUUUUCUAAGGAAAAAGGUGUGAGUUGUGUCAUCUGCUAUCUGGCAGCCACCAAAACCAAACCCCCACCCCAGCAGUGAACAAAGAUUGGCACCCAGGGAAGAUCAUGGGAUGGUAUCUCUUGCCAUACUUGGGCUGGUAUGGAGUCUGAGACACUGUUUCUUAAAAUACCACAUUCUUUGAGAGGAGGGUUAGUGUAAAAAUCAUGGCCCCCUGAAUCGGUCUAAUUUAUGCUUCUAGGAGUAUUAUUCUCUUCUAAUGCCAAAGCUUCACGACACCUGAGAAAAUAAAUAGGAAUGUCUUUGUGGUUGUGAACUUGAAGUGAAUGACAAUUUUGAGAGACAUACGAAAAUUUUAUUUCCUUAUUUUCCUCAUUCCUCUUAAGAUUGUGGUCUGAACUUGCUCACGUCUAAGACCUUUCUCAGAGGGCUUCUGGGAGCCUCCUCUCCCUUUGUUCCCUCUCGUCGGUGGGGAGUCACUGUGGAGCGAUACAGCUCAACACCAGCAGAUGGCAUGUGGCGUCAGGUUCCCGGCACUUGAACCUGGGAAAGCCAUCUUUUCUCAAUGGAGAAAUUCUAACUUUUAGUUAGGAAUUAAAAGUGAAAUUGUUUUAGCCAUUAGAUGCUGCGUUUGAUCAUCUAGCUGUGUCUUUCUAUGCCAUCUAGUUCAUCUGGGGUGGAAACAAGACCAAUAACUAAGACACUGUUUCAUUCAUUUCUUAAACUAGAAAUGGAUACGGCUCACCCUGUUCCGUGAUUGUCCAGGACAUUCUGGGAACCUCAUAGGAUGCUGAGGAAUGAAAUAACACGACCAGCAAAAAAUAUAUUCUGGGAAGAAGAAAAGAGAAUUUGAACACCUUCCCGGUGUGUUCUGAGCAUAGAAGCAGGUGCCCUUACCACCCUUGCCAUUCUCCUUUCCCAGCCCAGCAAAGAUGCCUGGGGUCAAAGCGGAAUGUCAUAGAAAGGCUGCUCCUGGAGUAUCGUUAGAGAUGGCCAAAAACAUCACUUGGGGUUUUUUGAAGAUAGGUUAUUUUCACAGUUAGCAAUAAGAAUUUAACUUGAUCUCUUGUUUUCUGGCCAGCAUUUUGGCACCCCCUCCUCUAGGCCUGGUAUCCCCAGCCUGGAACCUCUGUAGAGAAGAAGCUUCUAGUCUUGUAAGGGAAGAAGAGGGAAGAAGGGACAGGUGUAAAUGCUUGGCUUCAUGGGUGUGGAUGAAGGAACACAGAGGGCUACCUUCCAAAGAUCUUCAACUAAACCAUGUUUCAGCCUCCUGCUCCACCCUCACUUUCUAGAGUACACAGUAUCCCUAAGGCCUGACUCUUUCAGGAGCUCUUAGGAGAAAAUCACUCAUUAGAAAAAAGUCUUCUUUAGCAGGUACCUACCAUUCUCCGUGUUCAUAGCUUCCCACGUGGUUACUUCCCCAAGGAAGCGUUUCCUAGCAUCUCUCACAGGUAGGGAGCAGACAUGUGACCUAAGAUUUCACCAGUCAACCACAGCCCCUGAAAUGAGGAAACAGAUGAGGUUUUGAGCACUGUGCAUCUGAGUGGCAGAUGAAAGUGGCAGCAAAGAGUGGUGGUAGCAACAGCAUCCUCAUUAGGACACCUCUGUGGGACCUUCUGAGCUGUACUCCUAGGAGCCUAGCCUUGAGCCUCUUUUUCUCUAGACCUCCCACUGAGUCACCGAGCUGCUAAUAUCUCUUAAUGAAUGCUGCUUAAACCAGCAUGAGUGGAUUCUAUGGUUUGCAACUAACAGAAGAU
rnacentral:lncRNA from 1 species